rnacentral:snoRNA from 1 species
GCGUGAUUUGGAUUAAUGGCAGUACCAUCUCCCUGGUCCUCUCAGUGUCCCAUGCCAGAGAAAACUGUGCUUCCAAACCAUUGCCAGCUCUCUCUGUAGGCCUGCUGGCACUAAAGUGGCAUUACAGCG